GGUUCUAUAGUGAAGUGGUUAUCACAUCUGCUUUACACACAGAAGGUCCUGGGUUCAAGUUCUGGUGGAACCA
rnacentral:tRNA from 1 species